CAUCUGUUAUUUUACCUGCAGGUUGUUUCUAACUUUAUCACCACAUCUCUACUUUAAAUUAUUUCCGUUUUACUUGCUUUAAAACUAGUAAUUAAUUACAUAUUCUUACUCGUUUCUAUAGAAUAUCCAACAACUGAGGGAGUUGCAGUUAAUUUUAAUGCUUUUGAAACCACCAAUGCUACUGGAAAUCAAUUUUGAAGUCGCCGAAACAACAAAUUACCUGCAGUGGUAGUGCUCCUGGAGUUAGUUUGCUCAUCACCCUUGUAGAUUCUAGAAUGCAACUUUUUGAAGUUAAUUAAGAUUGGCCAACAAAUGAGAGAGAAUUAGGAGUUAAUUUUGACCCUAGCAAUGACCAUAACCAAAGUGUACAUUUAUUCCUUUCUGAAUUUGAUUUGCUUUUUGCAAGUUGGAACGUUCUCUGCAGCUAAUAAAGAUUGGCGAUAAGAUCAAGAAAUGAAGAGUGGAAAAGUGUUAAUUUUUAAGUUACUGAAAAAUAAAGCUGUCUGCUGUGGUGUUCAACCUGUUAGUUUUUCAUCUUGAAGAAUAUUUCAGUUCAUUAAGCAACAUUAGAAAACUCCUAAUGCCAUUAAAUUUAGGAGCAUUGGUUGUAUCAGUGUUCAUUCGCUCCAGAAAGUAGAUGUACCUACGGUCCUAAAGCUUGAAGGUGCCUUUUUCCCAUUGGGAAUGGAGGCGUAUGCUGCUGUUUAAGGAGCUGAAUAUCCAACAAAUGAGGGAAUUGCAGUUAAUAUCCAUGCUCCUUAACAACCAAUGCUUUUGAGGUCUUCACCUUGCAACAUUGUGCAGUUAAUGUUUAAUUUUAGCCGAGUGAAGGAAGGGGAGGCAACUGGGAUAUAGUAUUGAAGUCACUUUAACAAAUUGUCUGCAGUGGUAUCCUUCCUGAAUUUGGUCUGCUCAUCGCAUUGGUAGACUCUAGAAUGCUACGUUUUGUAGUUAUUUAAGAUUUCCCAACAAAUGACAGAAUUUAAGUUGAUUUGGGUGGUACUGAAACAACCAAUGUCUACAUGGGUGUGGUCCUUCAUGAACUGUAUUCUUCAUUUGCUGUUAUCAUCUCUGCUUUGCAACAUCAUGCAGUUAAUUUUCAAACCAUUAGUGAGAGCAACUGGAUAUUUGGUUGAAUUCCACUGAAAUAACAAAUUCUCUGCUACAGUAUUCCUCCUGGAGUUGGUUUACUUUUCACACCUGUAAGCUUUGGAAUUUGGAACAUUCUACAAUUAAUUAAGGUGAGAAUACUUGAUAUAAUUAAUUUUAAUUGCUCUUUAUUAAUUUGUUUG